rnacentral:rRNA from 1 species
UCAGGACGAACGCUGGCGGCGUGCCUAAUACAUGCAAGUCGAACGGUCUUUCUAUGGAAGCUUGCUUCCGCUGAGAAGAUAGUGGCGAACGGGUGAGUAACACGUGGGUAACCUGCCCAUAAGAGGGGGAUAACAUCCGGAAACGGGUGCUAAUACCGCAUAGUUUUCUUGAUCGCAUGAUCGGGAAAGGAAAGACGGCCUUUGUGCUGUCGCUUAUGGAUGGACCCGCGGCGUAUUAGUUAGUUGGUGAGGUAACGGCUCACCAAGACGAUGAUACGUAGCCGACCUGAGAGGGUGAUCGGCCACAUUGGGACUGAGACACGGCCCAAACUCCUACGGGAGGCAGCAGUAGGGAAUCUUCCGCAAUGGACGAAAGUCUGACGGAGCAACGCCGCGUGAGUGAAGAAAAGGUUUUCGGAUCGUAAAACUCUGUUGUCAGAGAAGAACAAGUUGGAGAGUAACUGCUCCAGCCUUGACGGUAUCUGACCAGAAAGCCACGGCUAACUACGUGCCAGCCGCCGC